GCCAAUGUGGUGUAGUGGGUUGAGCGUCAGAGUACAACUCUGGAGACCAGGGUUCGAUUUCCAGGUUGUCC